UUCUCAGGUUUCUGGGCACCCUCAAUUCUCGGCCAAUGCAUCAAGAUGUAAGACCCCCUUUCGGGGACCCCCACUCUAGUCUUGGGAGAGAGAAAGCACCCAAAGAAACACAAGAAUCC
rnacentral:pre_miRNA from 7 species